UGCAGAACAAGGAGGAUGUGAUGGGUUCAGUUUGAAACUGUGUAGCCUAAGCAUGUGAAGGAAGCUGUACUCUUCCCCUGGGCAUAAAUGAAAGUUUUCCAUCUGUCCGGAUUCUUGCCAUCUGCCCACUAUCGAUUUUGGCUUCAUCCUGCUACAUUCUUUGAAGCUCACCUCAACCUAGUCCUGUGAAUUAUAGAUAGGAAGUGACCAAGAACCAGAAAACACACAGACUAUGUACCCAAGUACGAGAACCCUUAGGGAAGAAGGGACAGAUGCAGAAUUAGGCCAAGUGACAGUGACCUUGAUCUUCUAGACUAAACUAUCUGAGAGAUGGUGGGUAAGGACAUGAUAAAGUGGCCAUUGAUUGCCUGGUAUAAUGAUAUUCUAUUUGAGUAAGAGUGUGGUUGGAUAAGAGUGAGGUUUAUUUGGGGCAAAUGCAGAAAGGAGAUUUGGGGAGGAAUUAGUGGCAGAUGUUUCAAGUGAUAAUUAGGUUGAGACAGAAUGAAAAAAAGAGAUAUGAGUGCAGAUGAUAGAUAGAUAUAGAUACGAAUUUUUGUAUGCACUGUUAUCUAAAUGAGCAAAUAAAUGACUCAUGAUAAAUUUAUAUGAAAGCA
rnacentral:lncRNA from 1 species